rnacentral:lncRNA from 1 species
AUGUGUGGGAGCCAGGCUGAGAUGAUAUGCAGCCCUCUGGAUGCUCCCAGCAGCAUUCCUUCUAAACCCAAACUGAGAUGUGAUUUAGGAGGGCCCUAUAAAACUAGGGAUCAUUGGCCUAAUCGGAGUCAUUCAUCCUGUCUUGAGCUAUCAAGUCCAUGCUCACGGGUUGCAGGGAGUUGGGUGGAGGCGGUUUUCCUGGUAUAUUUUACAAUGACUACUUUGAAAAGAAUCUCAUUUAUGAAGUUAAUGCUCUCUGUAGCAUAUCUGGGUAGAACCCUUUCAAGAAGUAGCAGCUCCACUUAGCAGUUCUGUAGGCUGAGAUUUACUCCAUCCUCAAAGAGGAUGUCACUUCUAAAGCAUGACUCUGAAAUAAAUACCUGCUCACUUGAGUGAGGAGGAAAAUGUCAUGGUCUAAAAGAUGGUUCUGCCUAAUUCUUUCUAAUUCAGGAGCAUUAGAGAACAAGACAGCAUAUGGAUCAAGAGAAAAGCAGGAUGUGAAUAACAAAAAAAGCAAUCCAAGGGAGAAAUAUGAUAAAAUUUGGAUCAUGCUAAAUUCUAUUUAUGCUGAAUGUCUUAUUUCGUUGAAGUCUUAUGUGAAAAUAGCUGUAUUGAAGUGGUGGAAAGCUUGAAUUUUACUCAUGUGAAGGAAAGAUAAUGUUCAUUGGAAAAAUUUUGCAGUAACAGUGAAAGGAGCAUAUAGCAAAGGAGCUUAGAACAAAUGAUAAAAUCUUAGGAGAGGGUACAUCUCCUUUUAGGAACUUUUAGUUUCUUGCUAUAGUUCCUACUGCAAAUAACAACACAGUCUCAUGAUGCAAUAGUUAUUCAAAAGCUAUUUGAAGCAUGUAAAUGAGCGUCUCCUAAGUUUAAAUAAAUUGCCCUGACCUCCCAAAGCAGGCUAAUAUGUCCUGAAGUGACAGUUGUUGCUUUAACACAUUUCAUCACCUCUCAGGAGAGGCCCAGUAUCUGGAUCUUAGCACACUGCCAAGGAUCUUUGUUUCUUGAUCUUUCCUGGUAACUUUUUUUCUCCUAAA